AUUGAACGCUGGCGGCAGGCCUAACACAUGCAAGUCGAACGAGUGGCAGACGGGUGCGUAAUGUCUGGGAAACUGCAUGCUGGAGGGGGCUAACUACUGGGAACGGUAGCUAAUAACGCAUACCAUCAGAUGUGCCCAGAUGGGAGUAGCUUGUUGGUGGGGUAACGGCUCACCAGGGCGACGAUCCCUAGCUGGUCUGAGAGGAUGACCAGCCAGCAUGGAACUGAGACACGGUCCAGACUCCUACGGGAGGCAGCAGUGGGGAAUAUUGCACAAUGGGGGCAAGCCUGAUGCAGCCAUGCCGCGUGUAUGAAGACGGCCGUCGGGUUGUAAAGUACUUACAGCGGGGAGGCGUUACCCGCAGAAGAAGCACCGGCUAACGCCGUGCCAGCAGCCGCGGUAAUUC
rnacentral:rRNA from 1 species